rnacentral:rRNA from 1 species
GGUGUCUUCGGACGCCGGCAUACGGCUCAGUAACACGUAGGUAACCUACCCUCAGGACUGAGAUAACCCCGGGAAACUGGGGCUAAUAUUAGAUAGAUAAAAGAUACCGGAAUGUUCUUUUAUCCAAAGCUUUUGCGCCUGAGGAUGGGCCUGCGUCCGAUUAGGUUGUUGGUGGGGUAAUGGCCCACCAAGCCUGCGAUCGGUACGGGCAGUGGGAGCUGAAGCCCGGAGUUGGGGACUGAGACAAGGCCCCAGGCCCUACGGGGCGCAGCAGGCGCGAAACCUCUGCAAUGCGGGAAACCGUGACAGGGGGAUCCCAAGUGCUCAUGCAUUGCAUGGGCUGUUCUUUGGUCUAAGUAACCAGAGGAGUAAGGGCUGGGCAAGACCGGUGCCAGCCGCCGCGGUAAUACCGGCAGCUCAAGUGGUAGCCGCGAUUAUUGGGCCUAAAACGUUCGUAGCCGGAUAAGUAAGUCUUUGGUUAAAUCCUGCGACUCAACCGUGGGAAUUCUAGAGAUACUGCUUGUCUUGAGACCGGGAGAGGUUGGAGGUACUCCUAGGGUAGGGGUGAAAUCCUGUAAUCCUAGGGGGACCACCUGUGGCGAA